AAAAAAAAAAAACUGCUUUAAAAACAUAAAUACUAUUUGAGGGGUACAUGCUGUGGCGCAGCGGGUUAAAGCCCUGGCCCACAGUGCAGGCAUCCCCGCCGUUGCAGUCUGGGCUGCUCCACUUCUGAUGCAGCUCCCUGCUAAAGCUCCUAGGAAAGCAGAAGUCGGCACAAGUGCUUGGGCCCCUGCACCCACGUGGGAGACCCAGGUGAUGCUCCUGGCUCCGGAUCAGCUCAGCUCCAGCCAUUGUGGCCAGCUGGUCUGGAGUUUCUAAAGGGACAUCAAUCAGAUACAGCCUGCUGGAAUAUACUGUCCAAUGCAUUCAUACAUCGGUUUCUCAGGAGGCUCUGAAAGCAGGGGACGUCUGUGGGAAGUUACACCGGGUUUUAAGAGCAGGGGAGACCUGGGCCCUGCUCUACCACUAGGGCGAUGCAGAACUGCAGCUCCGGCACUUUUACAUCAGGAGGGACUCGAGAAUGAACCCAGACACCCAGCAGCUGAUGACCAGAUCAAGAAACUGAUUUUAUAUAGAUGUAGUACGGAAUACUACUCAGCUGCAAAAAACAAUGAGAUCCUUUCUUGUGCAACAAAAUGGAUGCAACUGGAGACCAUUAUACUCAGCGAAAUAAGCCAGUCCCAAAGAGACACAUACCAUGUUUUCCCUGAUCUGUGGUAACAGAACCAGAAACGUAUAGGAGCGAAAAUCACACUUUGAGAUUUGAUGACUGUUUACAGCCCUUGUGUCCCCACCCCCUGGAUAAAGUUUUUUCUUCUUACUA